GAUGAACGCUGGCGGCGUGCCUAAUACAUGCAAGUCGAGCGAACAGACGAGGAGCUUGCUCCUCUGACGUUAGCGGCGGACGGGUGAGUAACACGUGGAUAACCUACCUAUAAGACUGGGAUAACUUCGGGAAACCGGAGCUAAUACCGGAUAAUAUAUUGAACCGCAUGGUUCAAUAGUGAAAGACGGUUUUGCUGUCACUUAUAGAUGGAUCCGCGCCGCAUUAGCUAGUUGGUAAGGUAACAGCUUACCAAGGCAACGAUGCGUAGCCGACCUGAGAGGGUGAUCGGCCACACUGGAACUGAGACACGGUCCAGACUCCUACGGGAGGCAGCAGUAGGGAAUCUUCCGCAAUGGGCGAAAGCCUGACGGAGCAACGCCGCGUGAGUGACGAAGGUCUUCGGAUCGUAAAACUCUGUUAUUAGGGAAGAACAAAUGUGUAAGUAACUAUGCACGUCUUGACGGUACCUAAUCAGAAAGCCACGGCUAACUACGUG
rnacentral:rRNA from 1 species